AGCAGUCGGGCUUCCUCCGCUUGCUGAACAUCGACUGCUCCAGGGACCUCCUGCAGCAACAGGCCUCCCGGAAGAAGCGCUCUGCGGAGGCGGACCCAGAGACAAGCACCAAGCUGCCACCUGUGAUCAGGGACAUGUACGAGAAAGCCAAGUACGACAUCAUCUUCAACAUCCUGAGGAAUUUCUAGGCCAGAGAAAGGAGGGAAGAUCCUGUACUUCUACCACGACCUCUUGCUCCCCACCUUCCACCUCUCUGCUUCCCCAGAGCUGCUCGCAGCCCUCUUUCCUGCUCAGUGUAGGAGGGGGGUUGCUCCCCUUAAAGGGCCCUGAAAGCCUAGAGUCAGUCCCCGUGUCUCUGCCUUUAAACACCAGCCCAGUCACCUCCUUCAGGAAGCCGCCACCCCUGCUCUCUCUGGGCAGAGGCAUUCUUUUGCUGUGGGCGCACUCUGGGUCCUCAGAUCAGGCUGGCAUCCCCGGCCAUGUCCCCUCUCAGACACCAGGGAGUCUGGGCCCCUGAGCACCUGCAGGUGGCUAUGGAGUGAGUUUUCAACAGAAUACUGCUGGCAUCCUGGGAGGGUGGCUCCUUGUGCCCGUGCCAGUCACUGUGCCCAGUCACUGUCAUGGCCGUUUGUCCCUUUACUUAUCCCUGGCCCUCCAAGGAGGUCUGAGAACCAUGGGAGAGAAGUUCAAUAAAAUGUUUCUGAAACCAA